AGUUUCCGACAAAACCCACGGCCAUUUUGACCCCCCCUCUCUCUCUCUCUCUCUCUCUCUCAAGCCCUGCCAUGAAGCCAUAGAAGUGUGAUUUUGGUUGGAGUUUUAGUCGAAGUGGGUCGUAGUCGCAGAGCUUCAUCCCUAUCGACCGAGUUCAGCCCGUCUCGGAGCUACGCAUUGGCAACUCCUCCUCCCGCCGAAUGGGAACCUUCGGUACGCUCCUACUCUCUAAGGCGCCGUACAAGAACGGCAAGAGCGGCGUCCAGAGGGUUCUUCACGACGCCUACAAGAAGAAGGAGACGUCGAUUCUCGUCCGGCUUCGCGGGGGCGCGGACGAGUACGCCGAGUUGCAGGCUUGUAUCGUGCCCAACGACCCGACCGGGAAGAAACAGUACAUGCUCAGGUCGAUCGCCGAUCCGAAUUACACCGUCUGCUUCUUGGAUCGGACGGUCUGUGCUGAAACUAGCAUUUGAACCAUCGACCCCAUUUCCAUAUUGAACCCGUCCCGCUCCCACGUUCCCCUCCCUCCCUCUUGUUGCCCAGAACCCUCGAGUGUCGUUGUCCCUGUCGUCGCCCAGGACUGGCGACUCAUCGGCCUACCUCUGCCCAUUGCCACCCAGUCUGUUUUCCCUACAGACCAUUUCGAACAGGAGGGAGGAGUUCAUGGGAACCACUCGUCACCCAGCACCCGCAUCGCCCUCCCUCCACUAGUGCCACCGCGUGACGCACCUCAACUCGUUGCCGUCCCUCUCGUCGCCUAGCACCCGUGACUCCUACCUCUGUUUCGCCGCCCAUCUGCUCAGCAACAAGAGCUGGUUAGGGAAGAAGCGUCAUCUCAGAGUGGAAAGUGUACAUUCUUAAACUGUUUUGACAUGGGCUCUGGAUCUAGAGCUUGUGCUGUGAAGGAGGGUGUGAGGUUGUACUUCAACAUCAGAGCUGCUCAUGUUGAAAAGGUGAGGCAUUCUGCAAUUGAGUCUACUUUAGUUGAUGCAUUGUCACAGGGAAUGUCUGCUAAAGAUGCAGCCAAACAAGCACAGAAAGAAGGUGCAAAGGUGGCAAAGUUGGUGACCCGGCAUUGUUUGGCACAUAUGCUGGUGGUUUCCUUAAAAAGCAAAGACUUGCAAAGGUUGGCUAUCUUGUGGGAAGUGAAUUGGGCAGUUGGGUUGGAGGUAGGAUAGGAUUUAUGGUAUAUAAUGUGGUUAAUAGAGUGCAUUACUUGCUUCAAUUUGUUCAAACUGAAUAAAAUGUUGUUCGUGAAAUGUCAGAAGUAGCAGGUGUUUAGCUUCA